GAUCGGGCCACAUGUGAGAUGGCGGGGCGUGGUCUGCGUGACUCCAUGAGAUCCAUGGACAUCGGCUCUUCGUACGGCGUGGGGAUGCGCAAUGGCUCGGUGACAGAAAGCAUGUGUUGCAGGCCAGCGGGCAGAGGAGGGAACCCUCGGCUACGGUCACAGUCGGUGUGGUAUGGCUCCUUAUCGACAUCACAAUCCCCUACGUCUGUUCUACUUCCCUUCAGCUUAAGAAUCACAAGAAGGUGAUCUGGAGGAGGGAGAUGCUCCAGGUUUUAGAGCAUCACUGGUUAUGCCUAUAUGGAGGUUUACCAUUCAUCAUCUUGUGCAUGCCAAUGGUGGCGUGUUUUCUUGUGCUCGUUUGUUGAAUUGCAAAGAAGAGAAGCGGAAGAUCCGAUGAAAGAGUUUGUUGAUGAUCAUGCCAAUCAGGUCUAACUUCUUGAAUGAUUUGCAUUCAUUGGAUCCAGAGUUAUAUUGGCAUAUUCUAUUCUUCAAGCAUUAUCAUCACGACCUCUUGGCGAUUUGAGGUGUGCACUUGAGCUAUUGGAAGAUAAUUCCAUCAAUGAAUUCAUACCUUUUUGGACAUAAUAAAUUCAGGUAAUAGCUCUUUAGUCUAAGAGAUCAGCAACAUUUCAUCACUCAUCUCGGUGUUUCUCAGCCUUAGUUGUUCAUGCUAUCGGGAGCUGCCAGCAUGCCAAACACUUACGCUGAGUUAAAGUUGCAAUACCUGCAGGACUACAUCGCGGUGACCCUCAAUUCUAGAAGGAGCGGGUCAAACGUACAGGUCUACUUCAUGCGGUCGUUGCUUGACAUGAUCAGGUACCUGUUCGGAUACAAAUGGGCUACGACCUCUACGGUGUUGACUUCAACUCCAAGGAGAGGACAAGAUUCAAUGGGUUACACACUUCCAAUAAAAAGUCUGAAGAUGUUGUUUUACUUUUUAAACAACAAGAGCAAAGGCUGCUACUGACUGCUGGGUUCCAGGAAUAGAAAGGAAGACUGAAUCUAUGUUUAGAAGCAUCAGUUUUGGCGGUCCAUCUUCUCCGAGCAAAGCCAUAGGCCAUGGACCCGCUGCUCUGCUCUAAUUUGGUAGCAGCCUUACAGUUGGCGAGAGAGCAGGGGACGGGGCUACCUUACAGGAGAUCUGGACGGUUUGGAGUUAGAAUGCCCAAAUCCUAAAUUUCUAUUUAACCCCUUUGCCUCAUUUAUAUGUAUUUUAUAGCUCCCAGAUAUAUGAGCUAUCUAGCUUAACACCAUCAGAGUAGAACUAAACAUACUAUUGCAAUAUGGGCUAUUUACUAUCGUGUGACCUUGUGAUUCUAUCAUCUGUGUUUGUGUUGUAUGACAAUGUAUUGCUAUUGGUGA